UGGGGAAUAUUGGACAAUGGGGGGAACCCUGAUCCAGCCAUGCCGCGUGUGUGAAGAAGUCCUUAUGGUUGUAAAGCACUUUAAGCGAGGAGGAGGGUACUGGUAUUAAUACUACCAGGUACUGGACGUUACUCGCAGAAUAAGCACCGGCUAACUCUGUGCCAGCAGCCGCGGUAAUACAGAGGGUGCGAGCGUUAAUCGGAUUUACUGGGCGUAAAGCGUGCGUAGGCGGCUAAUUGAGUCGGAUGUGAAAUCCCCGGGCUUAACUUGGGAAUUGCAUUCGAUACUGGUUAGCUAGAGGGUGGGAGAGGAUGGUAGAAUUACAGGUGUAGCGGUGAAAUGCGUAGAGAUCUGGAGGAAUACCGAUGGCGAAGGCAGCCAUCUGGCCUAACACUGACGCUGAGGUACGAAAGCAUGGGGAGCAAACAGG
rnacentral:rRNA from 1 species